AGUGAACGCUGGCGGUAGGCCUAACACAUGCAAGUCGAACGGCAGCACAGUAAGAGCUUGCUCUUACGGGUGGCGAGUGGCGGGCGGGUGAGGAAUACAUCGGAAUCUACUUUUUCAUGGGGGACAACGUAGGGAAACUUACGCUAAUACCGCAUACGACCUACGGGUGAAAGCAGGGGAUCUUCGGACCUUGCGCGAUUGAAUGAGCCGAUGUCGGCUUAGCUAGUUGGCGGGGUAAAGGCCCACCAAGGCGACGAUCCGUAGCUGGUCUGAGAGGAUGAUGUGGCACACCGGAACUGAGACACGGUCCAGACUCCUACGGGAGGCAGCAGUGGGGAAUAUUGGACAAUGGGCGCAAGCCUAGUCCAGUCAUGCCGCGUGGGGGGAGAAGUCCUUCGGGUUGGAAAGCCCUUUUGUUGGGAAAGAAAAGCAGCAGGUUAAUACCCCGCUGUUCUGACGGUACCCGAAGAAUAAGCACCGGCUAACUUCGUG
rnacentral:rRNA from 1 species